rnacentral:rRNA from 1 species
GAUAUUCCUACAUAGCUAGUGGGACCCACGGCAAAUGGAUCAUAAAGUCUUCAAAAAAGAAUAGAUACGAUUGUAUUGCAUGUUGUAACAGAUGCGAUCAUACCAGCACUAAUGCACCGGAUCCCAUCAGAACUCCGCAGUUAAGCAUGCUUGGGCGAGAGUAGUACUAGGAUGGGUGACCUCCAGGAAAGUCCUCGUGUUGCAUCCCUC